GUUUUAAUCUCUAGAUGUAUAAACCCACUUGUGUAACUCUUCUGAGGACUAAAACCAGCUUGAUUGAAUACUACAUAUGGCUUGGCAGCGUAGAUGCGGCGUUACCAAGACACUGAGCAGAGUUGUAUCAGAGUCACCUCUUUCAUCUGCAAAGGGUGCUUUGUGCAGUUGUGGAGAGGGAAGGGAAAUCUUCAUGUCAGGAAGCUCUGAGGGAAGGUGAGAGGUGUCAGCCUGGUCAUGCCUUAUCCGAAGCAAAGGGAAGACGCUCAGGUGUUUCCCUGUGAGGGUCCGAGGUGGCGUGGGUGAUGCUGGCCGCUCCUUUCAAGCUUGGACCUAAUUUGCAGGUCCAGAGGC